GAAUAUGAAGCGAUUAAUUGCAGUUAGUUUCGACCUAACCUUAGGUAAAAUUACCCUU
rnacentral:tRNA from 1 species